UUUCUUGUCAAAAUCAUUUAUUUCUGGAAAAAAACCAAGUAUUUUUUUAAUACUAGAUUUUUAUUUUCGAAAUUGAGUACCAGUUUUUCAAAAUCAUCAUAUUCUGCAAAAUAAUUUAUAUCCCUGUGUUCAAUAACAACUACUACUUUUGGGGCGAGCGGAACAUUGUUUACAGACAGGUUAAAGUGUGAUAACGGUAAUUGAGUAUACAACAGAUUAUUAACCAACAAUAGAUUCUUAACCGUUUACUGUUGAGCAUUUUGAAAGAUGUCUUGAACAAGAAUGCGAACGUAAAUGCCUGGUUUCUUUUAACGUUUUGCAAAAUACGGCAUCUCGCUCAGUUCUACUUCGGGAAGUGUAGCGAAUUUGAAAAUUCAUAUGUUCUUACUUGUUGUCAGGCAAUGAAGUUUCAAUAGUAAUUUAAAACCCGUUGUGUAUUUACGCAUUGUAUUCUGUUUUUCAUCUUUCUC
rnacentral:lncRNA from 1 species